rnacentral:sRNA from 1 species
AGAGACCAGGAUGGCACUGUGCAGGAGACAGUACUGUCCUUUUGUUGGAAGACAGCUGAGAGAAAAGUUAAACUGUAUUUUUUCAUCAGCUUCUCUCCUAAAUUGCCUUCACUUCAAAUCAAGGAAAACCCUAGGAGAGAAGAUCCAGGACACAAUGGCAGGGCACAGUGGGUCGAGUCCACGUGACCUGCUCUCUCCUGAAAGCGGAAGCCUGGUAAGGCAGCUGGAGGUCAGGAUCAAAGAACUGAAAGGGUGGCUAAGAGAUACAGAGCUUUUCAUCUUCAAUUCCUGUCUGAGACAAGAAAAGGAAGGAACAAUGAAUACUGAGAAACAACUGCAAUACUUUAAGUCCCUCUGUCGUGAAAUCAAGCAACGACGUCGAGGAGUUGCCUCCAUUCUGCGACUAUGCCAGCAUCUUUUGGAUGACCGGGAGACUUGCAAUCUGAAUGCAGACCACCAGCCCAUGCAGCUGAUCAUUGUAAAUCUUGAAAGAAGGUGGGA